GACGAACGCUGGCGGCGUGCUUAACACAUGCAAGUCGAGCGGUAAGGCCUUUUCGGAGGUACACGAGCGGCGAACGGGUGAGUAACACGUGAGUGAUCUGCCCUCAACUUCGGGAUAAGCUUCGGAAACGGGGUCUAAUACCGGAUAUGACUUCCUGCUUCAUGGUGGGUGGUUGAAAGGUUUUCUGGUUGGGGAUGGGCUCGCGGCCUAUCAGCUUGUUGGUGGGGUAACGGCCCACCAAGGCGACGACGGGAGCUGGUCUGAGAGGACGGCCAGCCACACUGGGACUGAGACACGGCCCAGACUCCUACGGGAGGCAGCAGUGGGGGAUCUUGCGCUAAUGCGCGAAAGCGUGACGCAGCGACGCCGCGU
rnacentral:rRNA from 1 species